rnacentral:lncRNA from 1 species
UACAUGGGAGGGCCGUAGAGAUAGAUUUCAUAUUACAACGAAAUCAAAUAUGGUUCUCUGCUCAAAUUCAGCGCCACUAUCACCAGAAUGAAAGUACUUGGUGCAGUAAGGCCGCCACCAAGCCACUGCUAGUUUCCGAACAAACAGAUGGAAGAGGUGAUGGGCUAGAAGCUCAAACCACACUGCCUCCAAAUAUAGCCCCAAAGCAAUAAAGGGAGCCGGUGUCAAUCUGUUGCCGUCGAAGCUCCAAACGUCCUCCUUUGGGCGAGAAGAUACACCAACGGGGAGAUGAAGAUUGGGACCCAAAUGCCAUUGCCCAAAGGCCUUAUUGUAUGUGUAUUUUACUGAUAGUAUUGAGCAUGGGGAAACACAUACAUACCAGAGAAACAGAGGGAUGGACACGAGACAAAGGUUCACCUAGGUUAGGGCCCUAAUCAUUGAGGUAACUCCCUCAUCUUGCCUCAGUUAAUGGUAGUUAUCUUAACCC